CUGAGACUUAAAGUCUCCUGAAGGAACGUUGAAGACGACGACGUUGAUAGGCCGGGUGUGUAAGCGCAGCGAUGCGUUGAGCUAACCGGUACUAAUGAACCGUGAGGCUUAACCUUACAACGCCGAAG
rnacentral:rRNA from 1 species